GACGAACGCUGGCGGCGUGCCUAAUACAUGCAAGUAGAACGCACAGUUUAUACCGUAGCUUGCUACACCAUAGACUGUGAGUUGCGAACGGGUGAGUAACGCGUAGGUAACCUGCCUGGUAGCGGGGGAUAACUAUUGGAAACGAUAGCUAAUACCGCAUAAUAUUAAUUAUUGCAUGAUAAUUAAUUGAAAGGUGCAAUUGCACCACUACCAGAUGGACCUGCGUUGUAUUAGCUAGUAGGUGAGGUAACGGCUCACCUAGGCGGAGAUACAUAGCCGAGCCUGGAGGGUGGUCGGCCAACCUGGGACUGAGAACAGGCUCAGGCUCCUUCGGGGGGGCGCAGUAGGGAAAUUUCGGCAAUGGACGAAAGUCUGACCGAGCAACGACGCGUGAGGGAAGAAGGUUUUCGGAUCGUAAAGCUCUGCUGUAAGAGAAGAACGGGUGUGAGAGUGGAAAGUUCACACUGUGACGGUAUCUUAACAGAAAGGGACGGCUAACUACGUG
rnacentral:rRNA from 1 species